rnacentral:rRNA from 1 species
AUUGAACGCUGGCGGCAGGCCUAACACAUGCAAGUCGAACGAGUGGCGGACGGGUGAGUAAUGUCUGGGAAACUGCCUGAUGGAGGGGGAUAACUACUGGAAACGGUAGUUAAUACCGCAUACCAUCGGAUGUGCCCAGAUGGGAUUAGCUAGUAGGUGGGGUAACGGCUCACCUAGGCGACGAUCCCUAGCUGGUCUUAGAGGAGGACCAGCAACACUGGAACUGAGACACGGUCCAGGCUCCGACGGGAGGCAGCGGUGGGGAAUAGUGCACAAUGAGCGCAAUACUGAUGCAGCCAUGCCGCGUGUAUGAAGAAAGCCUUCGGGUUGUAAAGUACUUGCAGCGGGGAGGCGUUAUCCGCAGAAGAAGCACCGGCUAACUCCGUGCCAGCGGCCGCGGGAAUUC